GGAGGCACUAUUGGUAGAGUUGUUGACAGAAGAUAGAGAGCACAAAAGAUGAUAUGCAUAUAGAUAUAUAUAGUCUGCAUUUUAUUCCUUUGUGCUCUCUAAGCUUCUGUCAUCACUCUUCAGCCUCUAUUUCUA
rnacentral:pre_miRNA from 1 species